rnacentral:rRNA from 1 species
CGACGUAAAGAACUUGCCUCACAGCUAGGGACAACAUUUAGAAAUGAAUGCUAAUACCUGAUAUUAUGAUUUUAGGUCAUCUUAGAAUUAUGAAAGCUAUAAGCACUGUGAGAGAGCUUUGCGUCCCAUUAGCUAGUUGGAGAGGUAACAGCUCACCAAGGCGAUGAUGGGUAGCCGGCCUGAGAGGGUGAACGGCCACAAGGGGACUGAGACACGGCCCUU